UAUAUCGUGUUUCUUAUUUCAAUACCCUAUCUUAUGUUAGUACCAAUAGUAGAAUUAAAAACUUAUGGCAGUGCCUUAUAAUAAUCUACGAAAAGAUAAAUUCUAAUAAUAAAAGAUACAAAAUUAAAUUACGACAACGUAAGUGUAAAGCGACGGUGAAACAAAUUAUUUUAUAUUCAUUAAGUCCAUAAAUGUUAAAAAAGAAAAGGGACAGCAAACGAUUAUUUGUAUCGUUAGAAAGGACAAAGAAUAAAUUCUGCUCUCGCAUAAUUGUUAUUCGAUAUUAUAUUACUCCAAACUGUAUCUUCGAAUAUUAUCGAACGACAGAGUUUUGAAAUCGCAGAAUCUCGAUUUCAGAUUAAAAUCACCGUAGAUCGAAUAAACGUAACGAAGAUAUAUAGAUGUUCUGUUCCUGUUGAAUUACCCUGUACAUGUAUACGUGCAUAAUGCACACGUAUUGCCGCGUAUUGUAUUCAUACAGUGUACGAACGGGAUACAAGGCCUCGUACGUGUUGGUACAAGCGCAUGGUGUACGGUUUGAUGCAUGCGAAUGCGUAUCCGGAUCAUGGGUAAAUUAGUGCGAGAAUUAGUGUGAGAAUUAGUGCGGUACGCGCACCGACGUAUACGCGUAGAGAGAUACGAACGGAGAGAGACAAGGAAAGAGAGAGAGAGAGAGAGAGAGAUCGGCUGGGUCGUUGCAUAACGUUAACCCCGCGUGUCGUGACUUGUAAAUGCGGUGUAAAGACUGACGUGAAUAUACGCACUAAUGGAGGCGUUGCGGGAGUUCGUAAUGGCCGCGUGGUGCGGUGCGGCGAGCGGGUUAAUGAAUUAAAGAAGAUAAGGGACGCGUGUUUCCGCGAGCAACGCCGCGCAUAAAUCCGCCGGGAACGAUUCAGUUCGAGAUGUCCUCCAGGUGGAAGGUGGACGAACCCCUUUCGAAUCGAAUCGAUCGCCUCUCUCGUCGGCGAAAUUCAUGGAUAUCGCUUUGGACACACCUUUAACUUCGAACUGCCUGGACGAUGACGAAAUGCACCCGGUUCUGAUUCAAUCAGGUGAUAUUGACCUCCAUGACGUCAAACGAAGUUCGAGGAUACUUAUUUUCUUUUCUUGCCGUAACCCACUCCUUUACAUCCUCGCCGAUGGAUCCAGGACCCGUUGCAAGACCGGUUUGGUAAGAAUCAACUGAUCACGGAGGCAAGAAACAACUGAAUCACUGUGGCUUCGACCCUUCAACUCAAGGAUCAAGCGUGGCAAUGCAAAAUUCCCGGUAUCUCUCGGAAAACUAACUCAUCGGAGCGUACAGCGGCGAGGAAGCACGGUUGAAAUGAUAUUUCUCGUUGCGCCUCUCCUACGGGAUCCUCGUGGCGAAACAUGGCGUCUUCGCGUACAGACGAACGGCCACCAUAAAGGUUCAAAACGAAGAAUGAUCGUGGCAUUUAUGCGGUCUAAGAGUUUCGAUUGACGUUUGAAAUCUCGUUGAUUCUAUAAAUUAAUAACGCGUCAGCAAUUAUAAAUACGCAACAAAAUUUUAUCAAAAGCAAUUGAAAUUGUAGUAAAAAAACAGACCACAGUAUCGUAUAGAUAUAUGCGCAGAGUUUAUGAUUAUAAAUUAGUAUUGAUGCGCUACCGAUGGAAAUGACAUUUCAUGAAAUAUAGGCUAAAGAAAAUGUAAAAUAUGCAACAACGUUGUAUUGUUUAAUGAAAUUAAACUGAGAAGACAUAUCUAUCUACCGUUAUUAUAAAAUACAUAUUCAUCAAAUUCUUCGCUAAAAUGGACAUGCGCGUUUCUUUUUAAUAAAUAAAUAAAUAAAUAAAUUUACCGUCGAAUAACUAUGUAAAAUAUGUUUAUGCUACGUUAGCAACAACAAUAAUUUUGUAAUAUGAACGUGAGAUAUUUAUAUUUUUUGGAAAAUGCGUUGAAUGUGUAUUGAAUGAAUUAAAACAUGCAUUUUAACAAUAUCUGCAAUUAAAAUUUUUUUCAAUACGAAUACGAAGUACCAUGGAGGAAUAAUUAAUACGAACGCUUUCAGGAAAUAAUUAAUAUUGACAUUACUAAAAACCAUAUUUUAGAGGAAAAGUAUCAGACGAAAACACGCGAGCUUUAUUUUCUCCGUCAAUUAAAAUGUUACACAAAAGAGCUGUCGCAUUCAAAUAAUAAAAAGCUAUUCGUUCCAAAUUGAUUUCGUACACAUAUCUAUACACUUUUCAUCUGGAUUUUCACGACGAAGUCUAGAGAAUACUCUAAUUAUUCGUUCAAUUGGAAGAACAUUUUCAUAUGUAUCAAAAUAAAUUCGCUCGCUAAAUGAAUAUAUUUUCAUCUUCUUGUCACCAAAAAUAUACCAAACACACCACAAACGACCAAUAUUGAAAUUAUUACGUAUCGUAUCUCGGUGGCAAAUAAGUAUUGAUUUCAUACGUAUGAAUUUUGCUGCCUGUAUCCAAUCACAUUAAAAACAUUUCCCAUUAAAUAACAGCAGCAAUAAAUUUCGAAAAUUGGUAGAACAUUCGUUUAAAACGUUAAAUUUCAUUAUUGGAAUAAAAAUAUACGAUUA